AUCAUAUCCUACACGCCUCUUCAUUGGUUGGUUCGGGCGGUGUCUCGGCCAAAGUUGGCUAUCCUGUGCUGUGUACCUAUCUCGUCGGGAUUUUGUUGGCUUAAAGUGGGAAAUUUCCUUCGUGUGCUUCUGCUCCUAGCUGGGAAGUAGUGCAUGUUGGACCAUAAAGCAGUCGUUGUGUAUCGCACUGUGAUCAUCCCAUGGGUGUAUUCAGCUGCCGAGCCACGACGCAAUGCUUGAUAUCACGGGUGCGGAACAUCUAGUGGGUUCGAGGUCCUUGGGCCUUGAUGACCACAAUAAAAAGCGUCCCACGCUUCGUGCGAACGACCGUUGGCGCGGUCUUUGGCCGUUCUCUCUUGCAUUGCGGUUAGAGUCGCGUCGGCGUCGG
rnacentral:misc_RNA from 1 species